rnacentral:rRNA from 1 species
UAGGAGUAAAUAAACAGUUUGGGAGUAGAGUACAGUUGAAAACUAUCCAGAAUGGCGGUUUUUUUUAUUUUCAGAAAAAUGUGUUUUUAAAACGAAACCACACGAAGAUCUUUCCAACUCUGGAAACCCAUCCUGUACACCGCCGUCUGAAGGGUCAUUGUAAAAAAUGAACUCUUAUUUCCCCCUCAUCUUGCGAAAAUAAGUCAGGUAAGGUGCAGACAAUGGGUUGGAAAAAAUGCAUUUCCCUAAAAACAAAACGGAAAGGGGGUUGAAAUACUCUCUAGAAGAAGAAUUUGAAAGUAAGAAUUUUUAAUAAAAAAAAUCUGAAUUUAUACCAAAAAAAUGU